UUUUGGACAAUGGGCGCAAGCCUGAUCCAGCCAUGCCGCGUGAGUGAAGAAGGCCGUCUGGUUGUAAAGCUCUUUCGGACGGAAAGAAAUCGCGCAGGCUAAUACCCUGCGCGGCUGACGGUCCCGGUACAACAAGCAGCCGCGAACUACGUGCCACCCGCCGCGGUAAUACGUAGGGUGCGAGCGUUAAUCGGAAUUACUGGUCGUAAAGCGUGCGCAGGCGGUUGAUUAAGACAGGCGUGAAAUCCCCGGGCUUAACCUGGGAACUGCGCUUGUGACUGGUCAGCUAGAGUACGGCAGAGGGGGGUGGAAUUCCACGUGUAGCAGUGAAAUGCGUAGAGAUGUGGAGGAACACCGAUGGCGAAGGCAGCCCCCUGGGCCGAUACUGACGCUCAUGCACGAAAGCGUGGGUAGCAAACAG
rnacentral:rRNA from 1 species